GACGCUGGCGGCAGCCUCAUACAUGCAAGUCGAGCGAGAACGUUACUUCGGUAGCUAGUAAAGCGGCGGACGGGUGAGUAACGCGUAGGAAUCUACCUUUCAGCGGGGGAUAGCUCGGGGAAACCCGAAUUAAUACCGCAUACACCCUAAGGGGGAAAGAGGGCCUAUCCUUGGAAGCUCUCGCUGUUAGAUGAGCCUGCGUGAGAUUAGUUUGUUGGUGGGGUAAUGGCCUACCAAGACUACGAUCUCUAGCUGGUCUGAGAGGACGAUCAGCCACACUGGGACUGAGACACGGCCCAGACUCCUACGGGAGGCAGCAGUAGGGAAUAUUGGACAAUGGGGGCAACCCUGAUCCAGCUAUGCCGCGUGUGUGAAGAAGGCUCUAGGGUUGUAAAGCACUUUAGGUAAGGACGAAAAGAAUAUAGUUAAUACGUAUAUUCCGUGACUUAACUUACAGAAUAAGGACCGGCUAACUCCGUGCCAGCAGCCGCGGUAAUACGGAGGGUCCAAGCGUUAAUCGGAAUUACUGGGCGUAAAGCGCGCGUAGGCGGUUUGUCAAGUUGGAUGUGAAAUCCCUGGGCUCAACCUAGGAACUGCAUUCAAAACUUAUAGACUAGAGUACGAUAGAGGAGAGUAGAAUUCCUGGUGUAGCGGUGAAAUGCGUAGAUAUCAGGAGGAAUACCAAUGGCGAAGGCAACUCUCUGGAUCGACACUGACGCUGAGGUGCGAAAGCGUGGGUAGCAAACAGGAUUAGAUACCCUGGUAGUCCACGCCGUAAACGAUGAGAACUAGCCGUUGGAUCUUAGAUUCAGUGGUACAGCUAACGCAUUAAGUUCUCCGCCU
rnacentral:rRNA from 1 species